rnacentral:rRNA from 1 species
GACGUAGGGCGCAAGCGUUGUCCGGAUUUACUGGGCGUAAAGAGCGCGCAGGCGGUCGUUCAAGUCGAGUGUGAAAGCCCCCGGCUCAACUGGGGAGGGUCACUCGAUACUGAUCGACUCGAAGGCAGGAGAGGGAAGUGGAAUUCCCGGUGUAGUGGUGAAAUGCGUAGAUAUCGGGAGGAACACCAGUGGCGAAGGCGACUUCCUGGCCUGUUCUUGACGCUGAGGCGCGAAAGCUAGGGGAGCAAACGGG